GCCCCAUAGUCUGGGAUACCACUUGGAAACAGGUGCUAAUACCGGAUAAGAAAGCAGAUCGCAUGAUCAGCUUUUAAAAGGCGGCGUAAGCUGUCGCUAUGGGAUGGCCCCGCGGUGCAUUAGCUAGUUGGUAAGGUAAAGGCUUACCAAGGCGAUGAUACAUAGCCGAGUUGAGAGACUGAUCGGCCACAUUGGGACUGAGACACGGCCCAA
rnacentral:rRNA from 1 species